UGAGUAACCUGCCCUUCUCAUCGGAAUAAGCGUUGGAAACGACGUCUAAUGCCGAAUACGACCUCCUUUCGCAUGAUCGGAGGUGGAAAGCUCCGGCGGAGAAGGAUGAGCUCGCGGCCUAUCAGCUAGUUGGUGUGGGUAAUGGCCCACCAAGGCGACGACGGGUAGCCGGCCUGAGAGGGUGACCGGCCACACUGGGACUGAGACACGGCCCAGACUCCUACGGGAGCAGCAGG
rnacentral:rRNA from 1 species